rnacentral:rRNA from 1 species
GACGAACCGUGCGAACGUUGUUCGGAAUCACUGGGCUUAAAGGGCGCGUAGGCGGGCUGCCGCGUCCGGGGUGAAAUCCCACGGCUCAACCGCGGAACUGCCUCGGAUACGGGCGGUCUCGAGGGGGGUAGGGGCAUGCGGAACUGUAGGUGGAGCGGUGAAAUGCGUUGAUAUCUACAGGAACUCCGGUGGCGAAAGCGGCGUGCUGGACCUUUUCUGACGCUGAGGCGCGAAAGCUAGGGGAGCAAACGGG